CGCCUUAUUUGGUCGUUCUAAUGAAACCUCUUCUGUUGCUGAAAACAAGACUAGACAGCAGUGAUUUGUUCUAAUCUCUAGAGCAAGGAUGUCUUAAUCUGAAGAGCAGUUUUAUCUAAAGCGGUUGGUCUUAGCAUAGCUAGAAUGUUCUGUACCUCGGUCGUAAAAUACCACUAUAAACUCUUUAGUAGUGCUAUUCUUUCAAUCGAAGCCUACGUUUUAUUUUUAUAUCAACGGCACUCAAGAAUGUCCGAUUUACACCAAUACAUAUACAAAAAAACUUCACAGAUCGAUAAAAUAUGAAUAAUCGUCUGGAACUUCAAAAGGAAAAGAUGUUACCGAUUAAAAUAUGAUUCGAGGAAGAAAAAAAUAGAGAUUGAAAAAUACUAGUCUUCACUGUGACUCCAUUGGCCGACAUGUUAGUUUUCUAUUGAACAAAGGGACAAGGAAUCUCCAGAGAGUUCCAAGCACACCAACACCCAACCAGGUUUCGAUUCCCAUUUCAUUUCACUGACAUUCUGAGAACCAACAUGGUCACUCAACUUGCUAGAAAUAACUAUCUCAUUCGUUCAAGUUACACCCUACCAUGUUUGCAAAGAAGUUCCAUAAAGAUGUCCUGCAUUCUUGAGACACAGUUCUUGUUGCUGGUUACGAAGGAGGAGAAAGCAAAACGCUGAUUUCUAUGGAGGUCUGAAGAGCCACUACAUUUCUGUCCCAUGUUCAAAUACCAAUGUUUAUCCCCUCAGAUUUUCUUUUAGAGUUCAGAGCAAGCCUUGAAAGUUAUAUGAGCACUGAAUACAUCAAUGUAAACAAUGCAACUGAAGAUAGAAAAAAAAAAGGCACAAGGCCCAACAUUUUUGUGGAGAGGACCAGUCGAUUGGAUCAACCCCAGUAUGCAACUGGUACUUAAUUUAUUGACCCCGAAAGAAUGAAAGGCAAAAUUGAACUCCGUGGAAUUUGAACUCAGAACGCAAAGACAAACAAAAUACCUAUUUCGUUAUUGCCCACAAGGGGCUAAACAUAGAGGGAACAAACAAGAACAGACGAACGGAUUAAGUUGAUUACAUCGACCCCAGUGCUUAACUGGUACUUAAUUUAUCGACCCCGAAAGGAUGAAAGGCAAAGUUGACCUCGGCGGAAUUUGAACUCAGAACGUAAUGGCAGACGAAAUACCACUAAGCAUUUCGUCCGGCGUGCUAACGAUUCUGCCAGCUCGCCGCUAAGCAUUUCACCUGGCAUGCUAACGUAACCAUAUAUAUGUUUAUAUGACAAGCUUCUUUUAGUUUCCUUCUACAAAAUCUGCUAACAAGGUUUUGGACGACAGGAGGGUAUAGUAGAAGACACUUGCCCAAGGUGCCAUGAAGUGGGACUGAACCCGGAACCAUGUGGUUGGGAAGCAAGCUUCAUACCUUACAGCCACACAUACACCUGUAUGUUUGAAAAUAAUGUUUUGGAUUUUUGCAGAUCAUUUCUUCUGCAAUGAAAAGAAAACUGAAUCUAACAGUGAGAUCUCCAUCAGAUCUCACUCUGUUUUCAGAAAAAGAAACGAUAGAUGCAGAUAUGACUACAUGGUAAGAAGUUUACUUCCCAACCGCAUGGUCCCAGGUUCAGUCUCAAUGCAUAGCACCUCGGGUAAUUGUCUCCUACUACUGCCCCAGGCUGACCAAAGCCUUGACUGGAUUCAGCAGUUGGAAACUGAAAGAAGCUAGUUGCGUAUUAAACACACACUCAUAUAUAUAUGAAUGUGUAUGCAUUACUCAUAUAUAUAUAUAUAUAUAUAUAUAUAUAUAU